CUUUUUUUUAGAUGACUUAAAUAUAGGAAUAUUCACCAAUGCAGAAUCACAUUGUGGAUCAUUAAUGGAGAGGGACAUCACAAAUUGUUCAUCUCCUGAGAUUUCGGCAGAACUUAUUGGACAGUUUAGCACCAAGAAAAACAAGCAAGAACUAACUCAGGAUAAAGGAGCCAGCUUAGAAAAAGAAAACAAUCGGUGUAAUGACCAGUGUAAUCAGUUCACAAGAAUAGAGAAACAAACAAAACACAUGAAGAAAUAUCCUAAAAGGCCUGAUUGGAAUAUAAAUAAGCCACCUAAAAGGUAUAUUCCAGCAUCAGAAAAGUACCCUAAACAGCUUCAAAAGCAGAGAGAAGAAAAAAAAGUAAGGAGGCAGAUGGAAUUGCUUCAUUUGGUAGAAAAAAAUAAUCCUGGGCACCUCUCUCAAAACAGAGGCAUUUCACCAGAAAUUUUUCAUUCAUCUCAUCAAGAAACGGAGUCAAAGUUGAGGUGGCAUCUAGUCAAAAAGGUAAAGCUCUUCCAUCUUAGAUGAUGUGUUGACGUUUCUGGAUUCAAAACACAGUUUCUCAUAUGUAUGCUUUGGUAAGGCUGCUCUGAUCUGUUUCAGUUUACAUUAGGGAUCAGCAAACUAUAUCCCAUGGGCAAAUCCAGGCUGCUGCCUGUUUUUGGAAAGUUUUAUACAAACAUAGUCAACUCAUUCUUUUAUGAAUUGUCUGUGGCUGACUUCACACACCAGACUAGCAACAGAAACAAUAUGGCCCACAAAGCUGAAAAGGUUUCCUUAUGCUUAUCGAGUCCUUUACACUUACACAACUUCUAUAGAUGAAUGUUGUGUAUUCAAAUACCCCUUUAAAACCCUUGUUUAUAGUCCACAUAGACAGAGGUUUGGGAGAUUAGGAACUCCCAAGGAUUAGUUUUGACUCUGGAAAAAACUAAAUAUCUAUUCCAUUGCUCAGUCAGUACCUGUUAUUCAAAUAUUACCCUCAGAUUAUUUCAACAAGUAGCCCUAAAAAUAUUUGUGGGGACAUGUGAAAAUGCUAUAUAUUCCUUUCUGCAUUUAUCUAUCCAUAUUUUAGGGAGAAGAGCCUCUGAAUAUUCAUUCAUUCAGCAAGGAAAGGUAAGUAUGCAUCAGAUUAAUUCCGCAGCUACUUAGUGCUUUCUAUGUGGGACAAAAAAGGGAUUCAAGAUCUGGACAGCAUCAUAUGGUAUAUGUAGAGAACAAUCAGAAAGGGUGUGGCUUCCAGGUGAGGGUUAGAGGUUUAAGGGAUAGUGUGGCACUCUAGCAGGAGCUUGAAGGCCCAAGUUGGACUGGGCCUAGGCAGGAAUGUAGAUAACAUUUACUUUUAUCUCUAGACUUAACUAAGUGAUUUUGAUAUUCCAGGUAUGUCAUUAGCAGAAUAGGCAUUCUGCUUUGGGAGGAGGGAUGGCUGGGGGCUGUGAAUGGGAAGAAAUGACUGAUAAGGACAAUGAGAAAUUCAGUCAGUUAAUGAGAGAUUUAGAACCAUUAGAAUUUUUAUUUGUGCAUGAACCAGCUGGUUUAGUUGUCUCAGAAUGGGGCUCUAAAAACAAGUUUCAUUCAAAUGGUGAGUACAUUAUUGUAUGGUGAAUUAUCUAAGGAGAAACAGUAGGCUCAGAUUAACCAAGCCAGCAGUGUUCCUCAGGAUCUAGGAAUUAAAUUUCUCCCUUGUGCUACAGUACACAUACCAUAGCUAGUGCUAGUAAAAACAUAAAUGAAUACCAUUCUCUUCCCCGGUUUUAUGGAACAAUAUUAUAGAGUUCAGGCUUCUAUGCAUACAUUCCCAAAGGUGUUACAGGUACAUUUAGAAUAAAGUGAAAUGGGUCAGGCAUAUGGCUCACGCCUGUAAUCCCAGCACUUUGGGAGGCCGAGGCAGGUGGAUCACCUGAGGUCAGGAGUUCAAGACCAGCCUGGCCAACAUGGUGAACCCCGUCUCUACUAAAAAUACAGAAACUAGCUGGGCACUGUGGCGUGCGCCUGUAAUCCCAGCUACUUGGGAGGCUGAGGCAGGAGAGUUGCAGUGAGCUGAGAUCGUGCCACUGCACUCCAGCCUGGGCAACAGAGCAAGACUUCUCUCAUAAAUAAAGUGAAAUGUGAUUAAAGAGAUAUACUUAAUCUAAAUACACAAUUUUUUACUAAGGCUAUUUUUUUUUAAAAUAGGUCUCCAUCAUCACCAGUUCCAGUAGUGAAAAACAGAACCCAACAAACUCAAAAUACAUUACAUUUACCACUAAAAAACAGUAGCUAUGAGAGAGAGAAUUUGAUCUCAGGAAGUAAUCAAACAGAAUUAUCAUCUGGGAUUUCUGAAUCAUCCCAUUUUAUUCCGUAUGUUCGAACAAAUGAGAUCUAUUACCUUGAUCCCGAUGCACCAUUGUCUGGGCCUUCAACCCAGGACGCUCAGUACCAAAAUUCACAAGACUGUGGCCAAAAACGACAGCUAUUUGAUUCUGACUGUGUCAGGGAUCCACUUCUUAAUCCUAACAUGGUGAAAAAUAGGGAUCGACAGCAAGCAAUCCUUAACGGACUUUCAGAACUGAGACAGGGCCUUCUCCAGAAGCAAAAGGAGUUGGAAAGUAGUCUCCUGCCUUUAGCUGAAAAUCAAGAAGAGAAUUUUGGUUCUUCAUUUUAAAUGUAGAAAAUCAAAUCCUUCACAUUUGAUUUGUGUCUUCCAAAUUAUAAAAUGUGCUCACUGGCUCAACUGUAUUUUUCAAAUAGCCUAGAUUUACUUAUUUUUUUAAAUGCUCAUUAAAAACUUGUAUACUAUGUAGUAAAA
rnacentral:sRNA from 1 species